rnacentral:rRNA from 1 species
UACGUAGGGGGCGAGCGUUGUCCGGAUUUAUUGGGCGUAAAGAGCUCGUAGGCGGUUUGGUAAGUCAGGUGUGAAAUCUCCACGCUCAACGUGGAGGGGCCACCUGAUACUGCCAUGACUGGAGUCCGGUAGAGGAGUGUGGAAUUCCCGGUGUAGCGGUGAAAUGCGCAGAUAUCGGGAGGAACACCCGUAGCGAAGGCGGCACUCUGGGCCGGUACUGACGCUGAGACGCGAAAGCGUGGGGAGCGAACAGG